rnacentral:rRNA from 1 species
UACAGAGGUCUCAAGCGUUGUUCGGAUUCAUUGGGCGUAAAGGGUGCGUAGGUGGUGAUGCAAGUCUGGUGUGAAAUCUCGGAGCUCAACUCCGAAAUUGCACCGGAUACUGCGUGACUCGAGGACUGUAGAGGAGAUCGGAAUUCACGGUGUAGCAGUGAAAUGCGUAGAUAUCGGGAAGAACACCCGUGGCUAAGGCGGCUCUCUAGUACGGUACUGACGCUGAGACGCGAAAGCGUGGGGAGCGAACAGG